ACUUUACAAUGCUGGCAACAGCGAUAAGGGAACCUCGAGUGCCAGGUUACAAAUCUGGCUGUCGAGAUGCCUAAAAAGCAUUUCAUAGCAAGGGCCGGGCAAGACCGGUGCCAGCCGCCGCGGUAACACCGGCGGCUCGAGUGGUAACCGUUAUUAUUGGGUCUAAAGGGUCUGUAGCCGGCCGGAUAAGUCUCUUGAGAAAUCUGGCAGCUUAACUGUCAGGCUUUCAGGAGAUACUGUCUGGCUCGAGGCCGGGAGAGGUGAGAGGUACUUCAGGGGUAGGGGUGAAAUCUUGUAAUCCUUGAAGGACCACCAGUGGCGAAGGCGUCUCGCCAGAACGGACCUGACGGCAAGGGACGAAAGCUAGGGGCACGAACCGGAUUAGAUACCCGGGUAGUCCUAGCCGUAAACGAUACUCGCUAGGUGUCGGCCACGGUGCGACCGUUGUCGGUGCCGUAGGGAAGCCGUGAAGCGAGC
rnacentral:rRNA from 1 species